UUUCCGUAGGUGAGCCUGCGGAAGGAUCAUUAUAAAUGAAAAACGAAUAACUUCAGGGAAGAAGGGAACCUGCACGGUGACCUCCCCUGUCGGGCCACCCAAUACCUUCAAAAUGCCGCCGUCCUAGCGGUGGCAGACGAAAAAAAAACAAGAAAAACAAAAUAGAAACAGGCACGGUGGCCCGUUCACCUUCACACAACCCUCCGAGUACCGCUUCCAUGUUGCUUCCCCGCAAAUCCACCUCUUUGGUGAGCGCGGGGGAGGGCCGCAUCAAAUUCACCUGAAUGUCACAGCAGUCAGACAGCCAUUCAUGGAAACAAUAAAACUUUCAACAACGGAUCUCUUGGUUCCC
rnacentral:misc_RNA from 1 species